rnacentral:misc_RNA from 1 species
AGAGAAAGACGACUAGAGGCAAGUUUUAAGGAUACGAGAUACGUUUAUUCUCACAGCUGUUAAUUAUAAAAAAGAUACCAAGUAAAAAAAAGUAGAGUCUCAUAGCUCAGCUGGUUAGAGCGCUACACUGAUAAUGUAGAGGUCGGCAGUUCGAGUCUGCCUGAGACUACUAAUUUUUUUAUUUAUUGGAAAUUUUGGAAGUUGAGUUAUCACGUUAAGGUGAGCCGUUUUUGAAGCUGUUAACUUAUAACUGUUAGCUGUUAACUAUAAAAAGACGGGGAAUUAGCUCAGCUGGCUAGAGCGCCUGCCUUGCACGCAGGAGGUCAUCGGUUCGACUCCGAUAUUCUCCACAGAUAAAGCCUUAAUAUUAAGGUUUUUCAAAAUGGGAUUUUGAGGUUGGCGCGUAAGCGCACUCCGAAAAAGUUCAUAUUGACAACGUUCAUUGACAUAUUGAAAAAAGAUACAUGAAAUUAGAUAGAAAUAUUUAAUAAAAGUAAUAAUUAUUGUAACGAGCAAUAAUUUGUAUUAAAGUAUUAAUUAUGAAAUUUUCAUAUUAAUUUUUUAAUAUAUAGUAACUCAUUAAAAAGACAAAAAGUAC